rnacentral:lncRNA from 1 species
ACAUUUUAUUUCACCAGCACCCAGUCCUGAGGUUUCUGAGUGUUUUUCUUCAGGCAGCAUCCCCUUGACUUCGUGUGUGGCUGGAGGUUUUCCCACCUCAGCACCGGUCAUAGGUUUGAGCCAGGACUUCAGGAACUCAUCGAGGCUGCCUUCAUCCCAGGAGCUCAAGGUGCUCAGCAAAUGGCUGAACUUCAUUUGACCUACAAAACACGGUACGAGGAAGUGGCGGUCAUUCGUGAAGGCUGAGGAGCAGAUAUGCAGCAAAUGGUGGAGCUCCUCCCCAGUCCUUGGAGCAGCUGCAUUUGAGAUGGGAGAUCUAUGCAGCAAACAGCAAUAAAGAUGGGAAAGAAAUGGAGCA